UGUAACAUUUUGAAUUCACAUUUCAUUUUUCAGAUUUCAGAUUUUGAACCAAACCCUAGAGAGAGAAAGUCUCCCUCCCUCCCAACCAUCAAAGCUCCGUGACGUUGCCACACCGUCGUUUGCCGCCAUUUAACUGGCACCGGAGGUAAUACUGUUCACCGCAACCGUUCCACCGUUAGUUGCUUAUGAAGCCAGAAAACGCCAUUGGAGGAUCUUUAUCAUGAGUUGAAAGAACUCGUUCCAGAGUAUCAGAUAAUUAUAAAUGAAAAUGAUGAUAAGUAACGAAGCCUCAAGCAGGAAUGAGAAGAUGAGAUAUAUUCAGCUGUUGUAACAGUCUUGAUAGAGAUAAAUGAAUACAAUCCAAGUAUGCAGAGCUAUGGAACUUCAAGCAUAAAAGAAAGGCUACAUUGAAAGAAGUUAUCACUUAUAUUGUGGAACGUAUGAAGCCAGCAGCUAAGCGCAAGAGAGGAUAGUCAAAAGGGAGUACAAAUGCAAAUAUAUCAAAGGUUUGAAUGAAAUUUGAAGCAAGCUUCUCACAUAACUUUGGCCUUAAUGAAUGUCUUUGCAGGGAGUAUAAAUGCAAAUAUAUCAAAGGGUUGAUUGAAAUUUGAAACAAGCUUCUCACAUAAUCGUUCGUUAAAUAUGAUAACUUUUCAUCAAUGAUGGAUUUGAACAUAUGUAAUUUGACAGACAAAGUU